CCUACGGGAGGCAGCAGUAGGGAAUCUUCCACAAUGGGCGAAAGCCUGAUGGAGCAAAGCCGCGUGCGUGAAGAAGGUCUUCGGAUCGUAAAACUCUGUUUUUAGAGAAGUAAGUGCGUGAGAGUAACUGUUCACGUUUCGACGGUAUCUAUCCAGAAAGCCACGGUUAACUACGUGCCAGCAGCCGCGGUAAUACGUAGGUGGCUUGCGUUAUCCGGAUUUAUUGGGCGUAAAGGGAACGCAGGCGGUCUUUUAAGUCUGAUGUGAAAGCCUUCGGCUUAACCGGGGUAGUGCAUUGGAAACUGGCGGACUUGAGUGCGGAGGAGGAGGGUGGAACUCGAUGUGUAGCGGUGAAAUGCGUAGAUAUGUGGAAGAACCCCGGUGGCGAAGGCGGCUCUCUGGACUGUAACUGACGCUGAGGUUCGAAAGCGUGGGUAGCGAACAGGAUUAGAUACCCGAGUAGUC
rnacentral:rRNA from 1 species